rnacentral:rRNA from 1 species
AGAAUCAACGCUGGCGGCGUGCCUAACACAUGCAAGUCGAACGAGAAAGUGGAGCAAUCCAUGAGUAAAGUGGCGACCGGGUGAGUAACACGUGACUAACCUACCCUACAGUGGGGGAUAACUCCGGGAAACCGGGGCUAAUACCGCAUAACAUCGUAAGAUCAAAGGAGCAAUUCGCUGAAGGAGGGGGUCGCGGCUGAUUAGUUAGUUGGUGAGGUAACGGCUCACCAAGACGAAGAUCAGUAGCCGGCCUGAGAGGGCGCACGGCCACACUGGAACUGAAACACGGUCCAGACUCCUACGGGAGGCAGCAGUGGGGAAUUUUGCGCAAUGGGGGAAACCCUGACGCAGCAACGCCGCGUGGAGGAUGAAGUCCCUUGGGAUGUAAACUCCUUUCGAUCGGGACGAUUAUGACGGUACCGGAAGAAGAAGCACCGGCUAACUCUGUGCCAGCAGCCGC